rnacentral:rRNA from 1 species
CGUAGGUGGCAAGCGUUGUCCGGAUUUAUUGGGUUUAAAGGGUGCGUAGGCGGUCUAUUAAGUCAGUGGUGAAAUACUCUAGCUCAACUAGAGGGGUGCCAUUGAUACUGAUGGACUUGAGUACAGAUGAGGUAGGCGGAAUUGACGGUGUAGCGGUGAAAUGCUUAGAUAUCGUCAAGAACACCUAUAGCGAAGGCAGCUUACUAGGCUGUAACUGACGCUGAGGCACGAAAGUGUGGGGAUCGAACAGGAUUAGAUACCCUGGUAGUCCACACUGUAAACGUUGAUUACUCGCUGUGUGCGAUAUACAGUACGCGGCCAAGCGAAAGCGAUAAGUAAUCCACCUGGGGAGUACGCCGGCAACGGUG